rnacentral:rRNA from 1 species
AUUGAACGCUGGCGGAAUGCUUUACACAUGCAAGUCGAACGGCAGCACGGGGCAACCAGGUGGCGAGUGGCGAACGGGUGAGUAAUACAUCGGAACGUGCCCAAUCGUGGGGGAUAACGUAGCGAAAGUUACGCUAAUACCGCAUACGAUCUACGGAUGAAAGCGGGGGAUCGCAAGACCUCGCGCGAAUGGAGCGGCCGAUGUCAGAUUAGGUGGUUGGUGGGGUAAAGGCUCACCAAGCCAACGAUCUGUAGCUGGUCUGAGAGGACGACCAGCCACACUGGGACUGAGACACGGCCCAGACUCCUACGGGAGGCAGCAGUGGGGAAUUUUGGACAAUGGGCGCAAGCCUGAUCCAGCCAUUCCGCGUGCAGGAUGAAGGCCUUCGGGUUGUAAACUGCUUUUGUACGGAACGAAACGGUUCUCUCUAAUACAGGGGGCUAAUGACGGUACCGUAAGAAUAAGCACCGGCUAACUACGUGCCAGGAGCCGCCGUAAGAC